rnacentral:misc_RNA from 1 species
CGCACAUUGCGCCCGCUAGUAUUCUGGCGGGCAUGCCUGUUCGAGCGUCAUUUCAACCCUCAAGCCCCCCGCGGCUUGGUGUUGGGGCUUUCUUCCUGCGGUCCGCCGCAGGAGCCCCUAAAGACAGUGGCGGACCCGCCGUGGCUCCGAGCGCAGUAGUUUUACGCCUCGCUAUGGAGUUCCCCCGGCGGGCUUUCCAGCCGUCAAAACCCCGCGGCUCCGGCCCGGAACCCCACUAUAAGGUUGACCUCGGAUCAGGUAGGAAUACCCGCUGAACUUAA